rnacentral:rRNA from 1 species
GGACUACUCGGGUUUCUAAUCCUGUUUGCUCCCCACGCUUUCGCACCUCAGUGUCAGUUAAAGCCCAGUAAGUCGCCUUCGCCACUGGUGUUCCUUCCGGUAUCUACGCAUUUCACCGCUACUCCGGAAAUUCCACUUACCUCUACUUCACUCAAGUCAUAUAGUUUUGAAUGCAAUUCCUAGGUUAAGCCCAGGGAUUUCACACCCAACUUGUAUAACCACCUACGCGCGCUUUACGCCCAGUAAUUCCGAUUAACGCUCGCACCCUCUGUAUUACCGCGGCUGCUGGCAC